rnacentral:rRNA from 1 species
AGUGAACGCUGGCGGUAGGCCUAACACAUGCAAGUCGAACGGCAGCACAGAGGAGCUUGCUCCCUGGGUGGCGAGUGGCGGACGGGUGAGGAAUACAUCGGAAUCUACUCUGUCGUGGGGGAUAACGUAGGGAAACUUACGCUAAUACCGCAUACGACCUACGGGUGAAAGCAGGGGACCUUCGGGCCUUGCGCGAUUGAAUGAGCCGAUGUCGGAUUAGCUAGUUGGCGGGGUAAAGGCCCACCAAGGCGACGAUCCGUAGCUGGUCUGAGAGGAUGAUCAGCCACACUGGAACUAAGACACGGUCCAGACUCCUACGGGAGGCAGCAGUGGGGAAUAUUGGACAAUGGGCGCAAGCCUGAUCCAGCCAUACCGCGUGGGUGAAGAAGGCCUUCGGGUUGUAAAGCCCUUUUGUUGGGAAAGAAAUCCAGCUGGCUAAUACCCGGUUGGGAUGACGGUACCCAAAGAAUAAGCACCGGCUAACUUCGUGCCAGCAGCCGCAGUAA